rnacentral:rRNA from 1 species
UACGUAGUUCCCGAGCGUUGUCCGGAUUUAUUGGGCGUAAAGCGAGCGCAGGUGGUUUAUUAAGUCUGGUGUAAAAGGCAGUGGCUCAACCAUUGUAUGCAUUGGAAACUGGUAGACUUGAGUGCAGGAGAGGAGAGUGGAAUUCCAUGUGUAGCGGUGAAAGGCGUAGAUAUAUGGAGGAACACCGGUGGCGAAAGCGGCUCUCUGGCCUGUAACUGACACUGAGGCUCGAAAGCGUGGGGAGCAAACAGG